CUGUGUCCUUCGACGCCGGUUCACCGCCUGUCGGUGCCAACUGGCGUUUUGCGGGACGUCCUGUCGGUGGUGUGCUAGGAUCCUAGUUGUGCAAGGCUACGGUCAAGUGCAGCUUUGGUUUCUGGACACUUUCAUAAUCCCGUCGCGGUGCUCUUAAUCGAGUGUCGAGGCGGGCCGGCACGUUUACUUUGAACAAAUUAGAGUGCUUCAAGCAGGCUUGUCACGCCUGUAUACUGUGUGCAUGGAAUAAUGGAAUAAGACCUCGAUUCUAUUUUGUUGGUUUCCGGAAUCUGAGGUAAUGAUCAAUGGGGACAGGCGGGGGCAUUCGUAUUGCGACGUUAGAGGUGAAAUUCUUGGAUCGUCGCAAGACGGACCGAAGCGAAAGCAUUUGCCAAGUAUGUUCCCGUCGAUCAAGAACGAAAGUUAGAGGUUCGAAGGCGAUCAGAUACCGCCCUAGUUCUAACCAUAAACAAUGCCUGCCAGCGAUCCGCCGGCGUCCCUCCGAUGACCCGGCGGGCAGCUUCCGGGAAACCAGAGCUUUUGGGUUCCGGGGGAAGUAUGGUUGCAAAGCUGAAACUUAAAGGAAUUGACGGAAGGGCACCACCAGGAGUGGAGCCUGCGGCUUAAUUUGACUCAACACGGGAAAACUCACCAGGCCCGGACACCGGAAGGAUUGACAGAUUGAUAGCUCUUUCUUGAUUCGGUGGGUGGUGGUGCAUGGCCGUUCUUAGUUGGUGGAGCGAUUUGUCUGGUUAAUUCCGAUAACGAACGAGACUCUAGCCUACUAACUAGACGUAUCUGGUAUCAGCAAUCGUGCUACCAGCGAUCAUAUCUCUUCUUAGAGGGACAGGCGGCUUCUAGCCGCACGAGACUGAGCAAUAACAGGUCUGUGAUGCCCUUAGAUGUCCUGGGCCGCACGCGCGCUACACUGAAGGAAUCAGCGUGUCUUCCCUGUCCGAAAGGACCGGGUAACCCGCUGAACCUCCUUCGUGCUUGGGAUUGGGGCUUGCAAUUGUUCCCCAUGAACGAGGAAUUCCCAGUAAGCGCGAGUCAUAAGCUCGCGUUGAUUACGUCCCUGCCCUUUGUACACACCGCCCGUCGCUACUACCGAUUGAAUGAUUUAGUGAGGUCUUCGGACCGGUGCGCGGAGGCGGUUUACCGCUCCCGAUGUUGUCGGAAAGAUGACCAAACUUGAUCAUU
rnacentral:rRNA from 1 species